CCUACGGGAGGCAGCAGUGAGGAAUAUUGGUCAAUGGGCGCUAGCCUGAACCAGCCAAGUAGCGUGAAUGAUGACUGUCCUAUGCGUUGUAAACUUCUUUUAUCUGGGUAUAAAGUGCAGUACGUAUACUUCUUCGCAUGUACCUUAUGAAUAAGGCUCGGCUAACUCCGUGCCAGCAGCCGCGGUAAUACGGAGGAUGCGAGCGUUAUCCGGAUUUAUUGGGUUUAAAGGUUGCGUAGGCGGAUUGUUAAGUCAGUGGUCACAUUGAGGGGCUCAACCCAGUCCCGCCAUUGAAACUGGCGGUCUUGAGUGGACGAGAAGUAUGCGGAAUGCGGGGUGUAGCGGUGAAAUGCAUAGAUAUCACGCAGAACCCCGAUUGCGAAGGCAGCAUGCCGGCUUCCGACUGACGCUGAAGCACGAAAGCGUGGGGAUCGAACAGGAUUAGAUACCCCAGUAGUC
rnacentral:rRNA from 1 species